rnacentral:SRP_RNA from 1 species
CGGUGAACUAGGCUGGAGGGGUAGGCGUCCUCUGUAAUUCUCAAUCGCCUUUAGGGAAAGCUGAAGUCCGGGAGGCAGUCUAUCAGCCGUGCAUUCGGUCUGAGUUUCUGACUAUGACCUCUCGUCUCACCGGAUUCUCUUCCGGGGGAACCGGGUCAGACCCUGACGGGAGCAGCCCUAACCUUGAUAGAGGGUGCUGGAGAGGUAGCGGGAACGAGGAUGGACUCAGGUAGCCGGUGUUCGGUUGGUAGAGUCACUCCCGGACGCGUUCGCCA